AUUGAACGCUGGCGGCAGGCCUAACACAUGCAAGUCGAACGGUAACAGGAAGCAGCUUGCUGCUUCGCUGACGAGUGGCGGACGGGUGAGUAAUGUCUGGGAAACUGCCUGAUGGAGGGGGAUAACUACUGGAAACGGUAGCUAAUACCGCAUAACGUCGCAAGACCAAAGAGGGGGACCUUAGGGCCUCUUGCCAUCGGAUGUGCCCAGAUGGGAUUAGCUAGUAGGUGGGGUAACGGCUCACCUAGGCGACGAUCCCUAGCUGGUCUGAGAGGAUGACCAGCCACACUGGAACUGAGACACGGUCCAGACUCCUACGGGAGGCAGCAGUGGGGAAUAUUGCACAAUGGGCGCAAGCCUGAUGCAGCCAUGCCGCGUGUAUGAAGAAGGCCUUCGGGUUGUAAAGUACUUUCAGCGGGGAGGAAGGGAGUAAAGUUAAUACCUUUGCUCAUGGACGUUACCCGCAGAAGAAGCACCGGCUAACUCCGUG
rnacentral:rRNA from 1 species